rnacentral:rRNA from 1 species
ACAAGCGGAGGAGCAUGUGGUUAAUUCGAUGAUACGCGAAGAACUUACCUGGUCUUGACAUCCCGGAGACCCUUAGGAAACUAGGGGUGCUUCCAUCUGGAAGAAUCUGGAGACAGGUGCUGCAUGGCUGUCGUCAGCUCGUGUCGUGAGAUGUUGGGUUAAGUCCCGCAACGAGCGCAACCCUUGCCUUUAGUUGCCAGCAGUUCGGCUGGGCACUCUAAAGGGACUGCCGGUGUUAAACCGGAGGAAGGUGGGGAUGACGUCAAGUCCUCAUGGCCUUUAUGACCAGGGCUACACACGUACUACAAUGGCCGAUACAAAGGGCAGCGACACUGCGAGGUGAAGCCAAUCCCGUAAAAUCGGUCUCAGUCCGGAUUGGAGUCUGCAACUCGACUCCAUGAAGUUGGAAUCGCUAGUAAUCGUGGAUCAGCAUGCCACGGUGAAUACGUUCCCGGGCCUU